AGAUUGAACGCUGGCGGCAUGCUUUACACAUGCAAGUCGAACGGCAGCACGGGGGCAACCCUGGUGGCGAGUGGCGAACGGGUGAGUAAUAUAUCGGAACGUACCCGGAAAUGGGGGAUAACGUAGCGAAAGUUACGCUAAUACCGCAUAUGCCCUGAGGGGGAAAGCGGGGGAUUCGUAAGAGCCUCGCGUUUUCGGAGCGGCCGAUAUCGGAUUAGCUAGUAGGUGAGGUAAAGGCUCACCUAGGCGACGAUCCGUAGCUGGUCUGAGAGGACGACCAGCCACACUGGAACUGAGACACGGUCCAGACUCCUACGGGAGCAGCAGUGGGGAAUUUGGGACAAUGGGCGCAAGCCUGAUCCAGCCAUGCCGCGUGAGUGAAGAAGGCCUUCGGGUGUAAAGCUCUUUCAGCCGGAAAGAAACGCACGGUAAUACCCUGUGUGAGUGACGGUACCGGAAGAAGAAGACACCGGCUAACUACGUAGUCAGCAGCCGC
rnacentral:rRNA from 1 species